CUGGUUAAACUUGUGCAGUCUGUUAACUUGUGUGCUUGCAAAAAGGCCUGCAGAGAGAACAAAGGAAGUUCAAGGCCAUUUAGAAAAGGAGUGCAAGCAUCCAAGCUGAAGAGGAGGCCCCCACCGUCGGAAAAAGUGAAUCUGGGUUACAACUGAGUGCACGGCCUCAUCCCUGUGCUUGUCAUCCCCUUGCCAACCCCUCAGUGACUUUGUCUCCAUCCCUGGAAGUGCCAUCACAGACCCAGCCUUGCCAUCCACUUGUCAACCCCUCAGUGACUUUGUCUCCAUCCCUGGAAGUGCCAUCACAGACCCAGGUAAGAUCCCAGCAUCGGCGGGGGUUUUAGGCACAUUGCUGCAGCCCACUUUUUGUGUCCAGGGCCAGGAGUGGCCGGCUGCCUGCUGAAAUUCCAAACGGAUCAGGAUGCCUCCCAGAUGCAAGGUGCCCCUACAGGCAACUGUGGCUGGUUUGACAGUGCCAAGUGCCUCCUGCAAGCUGACAUCAGGAACCUGGGCUGCGGAGUUUCGGUGAAA